AUUGAACGCUGGCGGCAGGCUUAACACAUGCAAGUCGAGCGAGCGGCGGAGGGGUGAGUAAUGUCUGGGAAACUGCCUGCUGGAGGGGGAUAACUACGGGAAACGGUAGAUACUACCGCUUACCACCAUAUAUGCCCAGAUGGGAUUAGAUAGCCGGGGGGGUAAUGGCUCACCUAGGCGACGAUCCAUAGCUGGUCUGAGAGGAUGACCAGCCACACUGGAACGGAGACACGGCCCAGACUCCUACGGGAGGCAGCAGUUGGGAAUAUUGCACAAUGGGCGCAAGCCUGAUGCAGCCAUGCCGCGUGUGUGAAGAAGGCCUUCGGGUUGUAAAGCACUUUCAGCGAGGAGGCGUUACUCGCAGAAGAAGCACCGGCUAACUCCGUGCCAGCAGCCGCGGUAAUAC
rnacentral:rRNA from 1 species